rnacentral:misc_RNA from 1 species
UCAGGGAGAGAGGAAGAAGAAAAGGAAUAGAGGGAAAGAAGGGAGGAGGAAGACAGAAGAGCAGAGAAAAACCUGUAAUUCUGGAAUUUUGGAAGACUCCUAUGAAUAUGCCUAGAAUUGUGACUCCUGCAGAAAAUAUUGGAAGCAAACCCGGCUCAUAUCAGGGCUCUGAUAUCAAUUUGUUACAUGUCAGCCUGCACACUUACUAAAACA